AUUGAACGCUGGCGGCAGGCCUAACACAUGCAAGUCGAGCGAGCGGUGGACGGGUGAGUAAUGUAUGGGGACUGCCCGAUAGAGGGGGAUAACUACUGGAAACGGUGGCUCAUACCGCAUACUAUCGGCUAACCCAUACGGGAUUAGCGAGUAGGUGGGGGAAAGGCUCACCUAGGCGACGAUCUCUAGCUGGUCUGAGAGGAUGACAAGACACACGGGGACUGAGAUACGGACCAGACUCCGACGGUGGCAGCAGUGGGGAAUAUUGCACAAUGGGCGAAAGCCUGAGGCAGCCAUGCAGCGUGUAUGAAGAAGGCCUUAGGGUUGUAAAGUACUUUCAGAGAGGAGGCGUUACUCGCAGAAGAAGCACCGGCUAACUCCGUGCCAGCAGACGCGGUAAUAC
rnacentral:rRNA from 1 species